CAGCAGUAGGGAAUCUUCCGCAAUGGACGAAAGUCUGACGGAGCAACGCCGCGUGAGUGAAGAAGGAUUUCGGUUUGUAAAACUCUGUUGUUAGGGAAGAAUGAUUGUAUAGUAACUAUAUACAGUAAAGACGGUACCUAACCAGAAAGCCACGGCUAACUACGUGCCAGCAGCCGCGGUAAUACGUAGGUGGCAAGCGUUGUCCGGAAUUAUUGGGCGUAAAGCGCGCGCAGGUGGUUUAAUAAGUCUGAUGUG
rnacentral:rRNA from 2 species